ACCGAGUGAGGGCCCUCUGGGUCCAACCUCCCACCCGUGUUUAUUUUACCUUGUUGCUUCGGCGGGCCCGCCUUAACUGGCCGCCGGGGGGCUCACGCCCCCGGGCCCGCGCCCGCCGAAGACACCCUCGAACUCUGUCUGAAGAUUGAAGUCUGAGUGAAAAUAUAAAUUAUUUAAAACUUUCAACAACGGAUCUCUUGGUUCCGGCAUCGAUGAAGAACGCAGCGAAAUGCGAUACGUAAUGUGAAUUGCAAAUUCAGUGAAUCAUCGAGUCUUUGAACGCACAUUGCGCCCCCUGGUAUUCCGGGGGGCAUGCCUGUCCGAGCGUCAUUGCUGCCCUCAAGCCCGGCUUGUGUGUUGGGCCCCGUCCUCCGAUCUCCGGGGGACGGGCCCGAAAGGCAGCGGCGGCACCGCGUCCGGUCCUCGAGCGUAUGGGGCUUUGUCACCCGCUCUGUAGGCCCGGCCGGCGCUUGCCGAUCAACCCAAAUUUUUAUCCAGAUUGACCUCGGAUCAGGUAGGGAUACCCGCUGAACUUAA
rnacentral:rRNA from 1 species